rnacentral:lncRNA from 1 species
ACUAUAAUGUUUUACCAGACAAGCUUAAAUGGGCUCGUUUCUAAGUGGAAAUUAAACCUCUUACUUUCACGAGCCUACAGUGUUCAAACUUAGCUAAUUGAUACUUUAGUUUUGUUGCUUGGCUAAAUAGAGGUUCAAAUAAGUUUCUUAUCAAACAAAGCUUUUGGCAGUAGAGUUUUUGGAAAUAGAACUGUUAGAAGUAGAGCUUUUAUAAAAAACUGUUUGCUGUUUGGUAACUAUAUUCCUAAAUUGUUGUGGCACUUUAACAUGUGUUUGGUAAACAAACUGAGGAAGUAUUUUGAUAUGAAAAAAUGACCAUAAAGAACAUUGCAUUGCAUUAUACAACAAACUAUAAUAAAAUAU